CCUACGGGUGGCAGCAGUGGGGGAUAUUGGACAAUGGGGGGAACCCUGAUCCAGCGACGCCGCGUGAGUGAAGAAGUAUUUCGGUAUGUAAAGCUCUGUCAGCAGGGAAGAAAGAAAUGACGGUACCUGACCAAGAAGCCCCGGCUAACUACGUGCCAGCAGCCGCGGUAAUACGUAGGGGGCAAGCGUUAUCCGGAAUUACUGGGUGUAAAGGGAGCGUAGACGGUUAAGUAAGUCUGGAGUGAAAGGCCGGGGCUCAACCCCGGGACUGCUCUGGAAACUAUUUAACUUGAGUGCAGGAGAGGUAAGCGGAAUUCCUAGUGUAGCGGUGAAAUGCGUAGAUAUUAGGAGGAACACCAGUGGCGAAGGCAGCUUACUAAACUGCCACUGACAUUGAUGCUCGAAAGUGUGGGUAUCAAACAGGAUUAGAUACCCCAGUAGUC
rnacentral:rRNA from 1 species